AAGAGAUGCUUUCACACGAGGAGACCCUUUACACUGAGGGUGACCGAGCACUGGAAGAGGCUGCCCAGAGACAUAGCGGAGUGGAGACUUUCAAAACUCACCUGCGUGUGUUCCUGUGUGGUCUGCCCUAGCACUUUAGGAUUACCUGCCAUCUGGUGAAGACAGCAGAUACCCAGAAAAGGCCACCUAUCCUGAAUAAGCACUUCAUCAAGAAAAGGUUCCAGUUCAUGUCUGGAAGGCAGCAAAGUCCUGACUCCUGAAGCAACAGAAAGACAAAUAUCUGAAGGAGAAAGUACAGGUACUGGAAUGACAGGGAAACAUCAGAUCCAACACUAAGUCUAAAAAUAGUGUGAAAACACACAACACGCUCUCGCCCUCUCCAUGCGCACGUUCCAGACGUCCUCAUUCAGAAAGAACCAAGCUGAGGUCCUUUCAGCUGCAUUCUCCUCACAGUGCCACAAAAGGCUGGGGAGGCCGGUAGUUUCUCAGCAAGCAGCAGGCGACCUCAUCCUCAGCAGUGCUCAAGAGGCUGCGGAAUUUGGCUAGCUGCAAUCAAAAGAGACAUAAGGUUCAGCAGAAAACCCUCAUGCUCAUCCUAAGGAAAAAGCAGGAAUAUAUCCCGUCUUACCACCGCUCUGUCAGCGCAGCUUGUGACGAGACCUUGAGCAGACCAUACGUUGCCACAAAGAAUGGAGUCGUGGAUGCCUUCUGCUUCUGCUGGCUUUAAGGGGAUGAACCUUGCAUUCUUCUUUACCUGUACACUAAUUCCUCCUUCAAUCCAGUUGGUGCCUUUUCUUGAAAUCUUACGCAUCUUCCUUAGGAAGGUGAGCACUGAAACCAUCUUCAUGUCUCCUUUUGAGGUAUUUUCUUUUUGUGUGAGCAGUGCUCAGAGGCCUUGAUCUUAAUUCUGGGUUUCUUAUCCCAAUGCCAAAGCGACAUCUAGACAGCUUCUUGUGGAGAAUUACUCGACCAACAGGUACUGGGAAGCUUUUUAGACUGGCUAGAAAUUCAGACAUAUUUUCUCCUUCCAUUUGGUUUCUUAGAUGAGAAACAUAUAUAUAUUUUCUCAGCUAGAAAUUUGGGUUUGGUACUUAAUGGUUUUAAAGCACCUUUAUUAAUUCUUUAUAUUCCAUCUCACCUGGUUCCUGUGGAAAACAUAAGCCUUUAAACACUGCAAAUGUCACUUUACCCCCAUUAGUGUUAGAAAAAUGAUUUCUUUCCUGACCACACUUACAGCAUUUUCAGUCAAAUCUGGUCACAUCAUUGUGCAUACAUUUUUCUUCUUUAGUAUUAUGUCUGUUAUUUGUCCAAUACCAAGUUUUUUUAUACUUCUUUUUAACCCCAGAAAACUCUUCCACUGUCUGAAGUAUGUGUGCAGCACUCCUAAGUCUUGCAUUAUCUUUACACUGCACAGGCCCCAAAUCAAAUAACUCUGUGUAACUGAAGCUGGCUUUGAAAAUAUUCUCCAAAGAAGAGACAGUGAAAGACAGUCUAAAAUAAUUCUUGAACAUUAAUCUUGCUCUUAUCAAGAUCUUGUCGUCUGUACUCCUUUUUUAAUCCUCUCCAAAGCUUUCAAAUAGGUUCUCCUUUGAGAAAGGACCAAACAUGCAACACAUCAGGGAGAUUGCUUGUCUUUCAAUAAAAUGAAGGGAGAAUGAAAAGUGCCAAGAGGAGGAGCAACACAAUUCUUACAAUGGAAAACUAGUUAUGAGUUUAGAGGUUCAGGUGACUCCAUGUAAAGCCUUACCUCUGCUGCAUACUUCAUCCCAUCCACUGCAUGUUCAGACCCAGCUUCAUCGUUGGAUCCCCAAUGGAAGUGAAUCUGGCGCAGCCUGUAGGUUCCACUGAGAGGCCCCCCGGUCAGCACUGGAAAUCCAAGCAGAGGAAAAGGCAUCACUGCAGGAACAGGAGCUGCUAUCCACAUCUCUAACCUCACAGCAGACUUCUGUCUUCAGACAGUCUUCUACUUCUUCUCAAGUUGUCUUGGAUGGCUUCCUGUUUCUUUUAAGUACUACAGGAACCCCCCACUUGUCCAGGAUAUGACCUUCAAAUUUGCAUUUGUGUGUAGAUGAGUGGGUUAUGGCCCACUAAAGGGUAUGUUAUCACGAGGUUCAUCUUGCUGUGCUUUGGAUAUCUUAGAAGAUGGGAAAAUGUCUCUCUUUUCCCAGUGGUUUCCUCUCUUGAAUAUAUUUAAAAUAAUCAGUGAGAAAUUAAAUUUAAAAUACAGGGUUUGUGAAAAAAAAAAUCAUUGUUCUCUACAACUUCC